CCAGAACCCGAUCCCAUCUCGAACUCGGCCGUUAAACACGCCAGCGCCUAUGGUACUGUGUCUCAAGACACGGGAGAGUCGGUCGCCGCCAGAC
rnacentral:rRNA from 1 species